UACGGAGGGUGCAAGCGUUAUCCGGAUUCACUGGGUUUAAAGGGUGCGUAGGCGGGCAGGUAAGUCAGUGGUGAAAUCUCCGAGCUUAACUCGGAAACUGCCAUUGAUACUAUUUGUCUUGAAUAUUGUGGAGGUAAGCGGAAUAUGUCAUGUAGCGGUGAAAUGCUUAGAUAUGACAUAGAACACCAAUUGCGAAGGCAGCUUACUAUACAAUGAUUGACGCUGAGGCACGAAAGCGUGGGGAUCAAACAGG
rnacentral:rRNA from 1 species